CCUACGGGAGGCAGCAGUAGGGAAUCUUCCACAAUGGGCGAAAGCCUGAUGGAGCAACGCCGCGUGGGUGAAGAAGGUCUUCGGAUCGUAAAACCCUGUUGUUAGAGAAGAAAGUGCGAGAGAGUAACUGUUCACGUUUCGACGGUAUCUAACCAGAAAGCCACGGCUAACUACGUGCCAGCAGCCGCGGUAAUACGUAGGUGGCAAGCGUUAUCCGGAUUUAUUGGGCGUAAAGGGAACGCAGGCGGUCUUUUAAGUCUGAUGUGAAAGCCUUCGGCUUAACCGGAGUAGUGCAUUGGAAACUGGGGAACUUGAGUGCAGAAGAGGAGAGUGGAACUCCAUGUGUAGCGGUGAAAUGCGUAGAUAUAUGGAAGAACACCAGUGGCGAAAGCGGCUCUCUGGUCUGUAACUGACGCUGAGGUUCGAAAGCGUGGGUAGCGAACAGGAUUAGAUACCCUAGUAGUC
rnacentral:rRNA from 1 species